UACGGAGGGUGCAAGCGUUAUCCGGAUGUACUGGGUUUAAAGGGUGUGUAGGCGGACUUUUAAGUCAGCGGUGAAAUCUCCGGGCUCAACCCGGAAACUGCCAUUGAUACUAUUGGUCUUGAAUGUUGUUGAGGUGGGCGGAACGGGUCAUGUAGCGGUGAAAUGCAUAGAUAUGACCCGGAACACCGAUUGCGAAGGCAGCCCACUAAGCAACGAUUGACGCUGAGGCACGAAAGCGUGGGGAUCAAACAGG
rnacentral:rRNA from 1 species